GGUCACCAAAGUAGGAUUAAAAAUCAGCCAAAAGAAAAUGAAAGCCAUGAUUGUUGAAAGAGGGGUCCACAGUGAUGCUGUAUAUCUGAUUGACAGUGAAGAAUACAGCAUGAUUACUACAACAGCGCAGAUCCAACAGAAUACUAGCACCUGAUUUCUGUCUUCUCCAGCACUGGCACCUCCAGAGGCAGUCUAGCAGAAUUUUCAGAUGUCAGGCAUUCUGCCUCUGCCCUGGGUCAAAAAAUUGUGGUAAGAAUGUUUUUAAACGAGGAAAAGGAUGGUUUCCAGUCUCUCUGCCACCAAACUCAACAACAGUCCAAAAAACUGUUGAAGCUAACAACACAGAAACACACCUCCAGAGACAAAGAAUGGAAAGUUUCAUCCCCAAAAGGACUUCCCACAAAACAUCACUGCUGGGCUGAGGCUGCAAAUCAGAACAACAAACAGUAGAUGGACAGAAGUCAGUCGCCUAGAACGGCGUUGUGCCCGUUACCACGGAUUGAGGGCUACGCCAUAGCAAACUCCAACCAGAUGGUCUGGACAUGCCUGAGCUGAAGAAAUAUUUUGUAAUAAAAUGACUAUCCCAGAAUUAACUUUAAAAAAAGCACUUAAUACCUGUACUAAGCAGCCAGUCUGCAGCAGC